rnacentral:sRNA from 1 species
UCAUUGGCCAGUCGUGGUGACAUUUGUCCUGAAUUCUGGAGUUUCGCCCCUUGCCAUUGGUUUCACAGAAAUUUUUAGCCUGACACAUCAGUGAAACGUUGUGGGAGACGCAAACAAGGAAUUGGAUAUCCCUUUUCCGAUAUCAGAUCUUUUCUUUGUUUGAUUCUUGAGCGUUCGCAGACACGUAUUGGCACCUUGGCACCUUAUUCUUCCCGUUCUCCUGGAUGAGCGGAGAAAUUUCUUUCCAAGAACAAGAUAGAGAUGGAGAAAAUAUGGGACAGCAGUUGGUGGUGACACUAUUUGACCGAGGCACUCGUAAUGUCAUUUUGUAGAAUUCAAGAAUAAGAAAGGUUUCAACAAAGCAAAGGGAAGAUCUGUCUUACCACUAUGAUUCCUAUCUAUUUAAGUCGCCGG